UAAAAGGUUUGAUGCUAUCUUUUACUAGUAUUUUUAAUUUGAGAUUUUUAUGCUUGAUUUGUUAGGCUAAGGUCUGUCAUAUAUAUUUUGCUCAAUCAGCAGAGAGCUAUGAGUUGGUAGAAGAAGCCUAUUCACCUCUGCCCGGAUUCGUUGAAUUACCUACUUGCCCUGUUUGUCUUGGCUUAUGGUAUUGAUCAUUUGGUGCUUCCAACAAGAGACUACCUCUUUGCUCCGUCACUGAGUGAUAUAUGCCAAGCUGUGGACUUCAUUCAUGAUAUUUCCGGAGUAGGAGUUUGCUUCUUGUGGAUUUCAUGCUUGUGAAGAAUGCCACUAAUUUUUGUUUUUUGUACCAUGGAGAAUGCUGAGGAAAAAUUUAAUUUUGGUUUAUGUUAUUUUGAAUUAUGAAUAACAUUAUGUAUUUAAAUAUUAUAUAUGUAUUAUGGAACAUUAUAUA